UGUGAAAACUCAGAGAGUUCCAAUUGCCAACAGGCUUUGUGUGCGAUCAAGUGCGAGAAUGGAUGCAGUGGAUGGUAUCCCAUAGUGAACCGUGACGCGCAGAUCCAAAUCCGCUUGUCUGACCCUUGCCUGAACCACAUUACGCCAAUAAAGAAUAUCAUAAAAUGUUUCAGCUCAACAAUUUCAAUACACUUAUACACAAUCAAUUUUGAUCAACAGUGAGCCCUCUGUUUCUCCUUCAAA
rnacentral:lncRNA from 1 species